CAGUGCUUAUUUUAAGACACUAAGCUUGUCCUUGGGAAACCAUCAAUUUAUGUCGGUGAAGUGGUUUCCCUUCCAACGCUAACCUAAAUCAAGAUCAACUCAACGAGAUCUGCAAUAUUUAUUAUAGACAUAUUCAUCGACAACCGCCCUUUUAAAGUUUUUAUAAAUAGAAAGGAAGAGGGGGGUGGAGAUCUCAAAUGUGGUGAUGUUGGAGAGACCAAUAGAUUAGGAAGAUGUUGCAUAUGAGUAUGGAGUAAACAAAGUGACUAUGAAAUAAAUUCCAUGCCCAUUAAUGUUAUCUUCGUCUCCAAUCUGAAUGUUCAGAGUUCCUCUUGGAAUGGUCUCACUUAUGUCCUCUUCUAUAGUUGGAUGAAUCCCAUCUUCAAAGGG
rnacentral:lncRNA from 1 species